UACGAGAGGUCCAAGCGUCAGUCGGAAUCACUGGGCUUAAAGGGUGCGUAGGCGGGCCCGUAAGUGUUUUGUGAAAUCCCAUGGCUCAACCAUGGAAUCGCAGGGCAUACUGCGGGCCUUGAGGAAUCUAGAGGCCGGUGGAACAAUAGGUGGAGCGGUGGAAUGCGUAGAUAUCUAUUGGAACGCCAAAGGUGAAGACAGCCGGCUGGGGAUUUCCUGACGCUGAGGCACGAAAGCGUGGGGAUCAAACAGG
rnacentral:rRNA from 1 species